ACAGGGAUUGCCUCAGUAACGGCGAGUGAAGCGGCAAAAGCUCAAAUUUGAAAUCUGGCUCUUUCAGGGUCCGAGUUGUAAUUUGUAGAAGAUGUUUCGGGUGUGGUCCCAGUCUAAGUUCCCUGGAACUGGACAUCACAGAGGGUGAGAAUCCCGUAUGUGACUGGGUACCUACGUCCAUGUGAAACUCUUUCGACGAGUCGAGUUGUUUGGGAAUGCAGCUCAAAAUGGGUGGUAAAUUUCAUCUAAAGCUAAAUAUUGGCCAGAGACCGAUAGCGCACAAGUAGAGUGAUCGAAAGAUGAAAAGCACUUUGGAAAGAGAGUUAAACAGUACGUGAAAUUGUUGAAAGGGAAGGGCAUGCAAUCAGACUUGCGCCUAGUUGAUCAUCCGGGCUUUUGCCCGGUGCACUCGAUUAGGCUCAGGCCAGCAUCAGUUUAGAGGGUUGGAUAAAGGCCUUGGGAAUGUGGCCCCUCUCGGGGGGUGUUAUAGCCCAAGGUGCAAUGCAGCCACUCUGGACUGAGGACCGCGCUUCGGCUAGGAUGCUGGCGUAAUGGUUGUAUGCCGCCCGUCUUGAAACACGGACCAAGGAGUCUAACAUCUAUGCGAGUAUUUGGGUGUUAAACCCAUAUGCGUAAUGAAAGUGAACGGAGGUGAGAGCCCUUAAGGGUGCAUCAUCGACCGAUCCUGAUGUCUUCGGAUGGAUUUGAGUAAGAGCAUAGCUGUUGGGACCCGAAAGAUGGUGAACUAUGCGUGAAUAGGGUGAAGCCAGAGGAAACUCUGGUGGAGGCUCGCAGCGGUUCUGACGUGCAAAUCGAUCGUCAAAUUUGCGUAUAGGGGCGAAAGACUAAUCGAACCAUCUAGUAGCUGGUUCCUGCC
rnacentral:rRNA from 1 species